AUGCUCGCUUUGACAGCACAUAUACUAAAAUUGGAAUGAUAGAGAUUAGCAUGGCUCCUGCACAAUGAUGACACGCAAAUUCAUGAAGCGUUCCAUAUUUUU